rnacentral:rRNA from 1 species
CCUACGGGGGGCAGCAGUGAGGAAUAUUGGUCAAUGGGCGGUAGCCUGAACCAGCCAAGUAGCGUGAAGGAUGAAGGUUCUAUGGAUUGUAAACUUCUUUUAUAAAGGAAUAAAGUGAGGCACGUGUGCCUUUUUGUAUGUACUUUAUGAAUAAGGAUCGGCCAACUCCGUGCCAGCAGCCGCGGUAAUACGGAGGAUGCGAGCGUUAUCCGGAUUUAUUGGGUUUAAAGGGUGCGCAGGCGGAGGUGCAAGUCAGCGGUCAAAUUGCGGGGCUCAACCCCGUACUGCCGUUGAAACUGCAUCCC